CCCCCUCCCCAUAAGAGGUCCAGCCUGCCCAGUGACCCAGUUCAACGGCCGCGGUAACCUAACCGUGCGAAGGUAGCGUAAUCACUUGUCUUCUAAAUAAAGACUAGUAUGAAAGGCAUCACGAGAAUUCAACUGUCUCCUUUUUUCAAUCAGUGAACCUAAUCUUCCUGUGAAAAAGCAGGAAUUUACAAAUAAGACGAGAAGACCCUAUGAAGCUUUAAACACUAGUCAACUGCUAACAUUACUAUACCCCGGCCCCAAAUUUAUGCACCAUGAUCACAUGUUUUUGGUUGGGGUGACCGCGGAAAAUAACCUAACCUCCACAAUGAAAACCCUCAAGCCACAACUUUAAGUAUCAACAAAUUGACAUCCAUUGACCCAAUAUAUUGAUUAAUGAACCAAGUUACUCUAGGGAUAACAGCGCAAUCCACUUCAAGAGCCCCUAUCGACAAGUGGGCUUACGACCUCGAUGUUGGAUCAGGGCAUCCCAGUGGUGCAGCCACUACUAAUGGU
rnacentral:rRNA from 1 species